UACGUAGGCAGCAAGCGUUGUUCGGAGUUACUGGGCGUAAAGGGUGUGUAGGCGGUUAUUUAAGUUUGGUGUGAAAUCUCCCGGCUCAACCGGGAGGGUGCGCCGAAUACUGAAUGACCUGGAGUGCGGGAGAGGAAAGUGGAAUUCCUGGUGUAGCGGUGAAAUGCGUAGAUAUCAGGAGGAACACCGGUGGUGUAGACGGCUUUCUGGACCGUAACUGACGCUGAGACACGAAAGCGUGGGUAGCAAACAGG
rnacentral:rRNA from 1 species